AGAUCCCAUCUUCCCCCUGGAAUGCUGAAAGAGUACAAGAGUCGUUACCCAUGGUUCACUGAGGAACAUUACAUAAAGCCUCGAACUCGUCUUGCAAAUCAUCAGCGACGCUUGAGGCACAAAUCCCUCAUUCCCAAAGUGGUUCGACUUGCUGAUCCAUUUGAAGCUCCGAAACCAAUAACUUUUGUGCCUGCCUUGGAUAGAUCACCCAAACGCAUCAUAAGAAGUCGAUAAUGAGAGGGAUAUUAUCUGUGAUCAUUUGUCUCCAAGUGUGUCUUGGAUGCUGUUACUCACCUCACACAGAGCUAUCUCUUCUUUCCAAUGCAGUAUUCCUGCUUCUUACAUUUGGGAUAUACAGGUUGUUGGUGCUAUUAUUCGUGUAAGCUAUGACAGAAAAAUUCUGGGGAACUCCUGUGUUAUGUGAGAAAAUGGA
rnacentral:misc_RNA from 1 species